rnacentral:rRNA from 1 species
UACGUAGGGCGCAAGCGUUUGUCCGGAAUUAUUGGGCGUAAAGAGCUCGUAGGCGGUUUGUCGCGUCUGCUGUGAAAACCUAAGGCUCAACCUUGGGCUUGCAGUGGGUACGGGCAGACUAGAGUGCGGUAGGGGGUGACUGGAAUUCCUGGUGUAGCGGUGGAAUGCGCAGAUAUCAGGAGGAACACCGAUGGCGAAGGCAGGUCACUGGGCCGCAACUGACGCUGAGGAGCGAAAGCAUGGGGAGCGAACAGG